GAUGAACGCUGGCGGCGUGCCUAAUACAUGCAAGUCGAGCGAACGGACGAGAAGCUUGCUUUUCUGAUGUUAGCGGCGGACGGGUGAGUAACACGUGGAUAACCUACCUAUAAGACUGGGAUAACUUCGGGAAACCGGAGCUAAUACCGGAUAAUAUUUUGAACCGCAUGGUUCAAAAGUGAAAGACGGUCUUGCUGUCACUUAUAGAUGGAUCCGCGCUGCAUUAGCUAGUUGGUAAGGUAACGGCUUACCAAGGCAACGAUGCAUAGCCGACCUGAGAGCGUGAUCGGCCACACUGGAACUGAGACACGGUCCAGACUCCUACGGGAGGCAGCAGUAGGGAAUCUUCCGCAAUGGGCGAAAGGCUGACGGAGCAACGCCGCGUGAGUGAUGAAGGUCUUCGGAUCGUAAAACUCUGUUAUUAGGGAAGAACAUAUGUGUAAGUAACUGUGCACAUCUUGACGGUACCUAAUCAGAAAGCCACGGCUAACUCCGUG
rnacentral:rRNA from 1 species